GGACCCGCACAAGCGGUGGAGUAUGUGGUUUAAUUCGAUGCAACGCGAAAAACCUUACCAAGGUUUGAAAUCAUUUCAAAACUCUUUGAAAGAAGAGCCUCCUUCGGGAUGGAAUGACAGGUGGUGCAUGGCUGUCGUCAGCUCGUGUUGUGAAAUGUCAAGUUAAGUCUUGUAACGAGCGCAACCCAUGUCUUUUGUUGCUGUUUACAGUGCUUAAAAGAGACUGCCGCUCUACAGCGGAGGAAGGUGUGGAUGAUGUCAAGUCAGCAUGCCCCUUAUAUCUUGGGCUACACACGUACUACAAUGGUAGGGACAAUGAGUCGCAAACCUGCGAAGGCUAGCC
rnacentral:rRNA from 1 species